UGCGCAGGCGGAAUAUUAAGUCAGUGGUGAAAUCCUACAGCUCAACUGUAGAACUGCCAUUGAAACUGAUAUUCUUGAGUAUAGUUGUAGUGGGCGGAAUAUAUCAUGUAGCGGUGAAAUGCUUAGAUAUGAUAUAGAACACCGAUCGCGAAGGCAGCUCACUAAACUAUAACUGACGCUCAGGCACGAAAGCGUGGGGAGCAAACAGGAUUAGAUACCCUGGUAGUC
rnacentral:rRNA from 1 species